rnacentral:rRNA from 1 species
UACGUAGGCACCAAGCGUUGUCCGGAUUUAUUGGGCGUAAAGAGCUCGUAGGCGGUUCAGUAAGUCGGGUGUGAAAACUUUGGGCUUAACCCAAAGCGUGCAUCCGAUACUGCUGUGACUUGAGUUCGGUAGGGGAGCAGGGAAUUCCUAGUGUAGCGGUGAAAUGCGCAGAUAUUAGGAGGAACACCGGUGGCGAAGGCGCUGCUCUGGGCCGAAACUGACGCUGAGGAGCGAAAGCCAGGGGAGCAAACGGG